rnacentral:lncRNA from 1 species
AAAAGUCUAAUUUAUUCAGAGGAAAGGUCACUUGUUGCAGAUGCCCACAUGCAAACCCACCCUACAGCCAAAAGAAUUGUAGAGCGAUCUGCGGACAAGGAGGAAGUAAAUUCAUACAAAUUUGCAGCUUUUAAUCAGAGAAUGGUAGACUCCAUACACCAUAUCAACAAAUGUUACAAGUAUUAAUAUUUUGACCAAAUGCCAGCAUGCAAAAUAGACAGUAUUAAUGCAUUUUAAAACAAUUGCUAGACCCUAGAGUCCAGUGUACUUUACCAUAUUAUACUGUAGCUUUAAUUGACCUCUCCUCCCUUCCUACCCACACACACACCCUUUCCAUUAAACUACAGGAACUACUCAUCAUUUUCAGUGAUAGCCAGUACAUUCAUUGGGACUUGGCAAACCAGCUCCCAAAUCCUUCAGAUCCCUCUUUUUGGGACCACACAACCAAUCUGAACUACCACAGUUCUGAGAUGAAGAAAAGGUUGGCGGGGGGGGGGGAGCAGGACUUGAAAAAUUCACCUUUCAGAGUAAGUAUUCUUAGUACAUCUUAUGGAGAAGCUCAUUUCCCAAAGGCGAACUCUACUUCAAAACUUGCUCUUACAAGGAUCGUUCAGAACUCUGCCCAGACCCUCUCAUAGUCGAACCCACUGACAGGAGUAAGAAGAAUCAAGAAUUGAUCCUGUAAAUUGACGGUAAAGGGAUGAACACAAGCAAGCUGGAACUAUUUGGGCACCCAAUCCUGACAGAUCUUCAAAUGGCUACAGCUAUUAUCCAACUUAAUGAACAUGGCAUUGUGCACUCUCCCAACCCCCGUGAGAAGUAAGCUCUUUUAAGAGACAGUUCUGGAAAUUUUACAAAUAUAGUUAAUCAUCAGCAUAAAUAACACAGAUCCUGCCAAGCAGGGAUGCCACCUGGUAAGUUUUCUGUUAAAGGAAUUUUGCCAGCCGCAGUUGUCUGCCUCUGCUGGAAGCAGGUUUGCUGAUCCUGUGUACCCUUAUUGUUUAUAUCAAUAUAUAAACUACCUGUCUGUCCUAUAUUUCACAUGCCAGCCUUUUGGGGAAAUACCGCAGAUUUGGCCCUUGUUAAAGAUUAAGAGAUCUUCCUGAGUAAUCGCUGUGAAAUUUCUGGCUAACGCACUGCAAACUGCCUCUCUUCCAAUGCAAUUAAGAAAUUCAAUGAGCACAAGGCAUACCUUUAAGAAUAUAGUGGGCCAGAUUUUCAGAAGGGUUGGCUCAUAUCUAGACAUUCGAAUAGGGCCAUGUGUUUGGAUGUGGUUUUUGUUUUUAACAUGCUGAAUUUGAAUAGAGCAUCUAACUCUGUGUAGAGAGACAGAUGCUUCCUUAGCAUCUUAAAGUAUUAUAUCAGAAGCCUCUUUGGGCCUUGUUCAAUAUUGGUUUCAAUUAAAUUAAUUAAUUAAAAUGAAAUAAAGUGCAACUUAAGAAAAGAAAAACA